rnacentral:rRNA from 1 species
GAUGAACGCUGGCGGCGUGCCUAACACAUGCAAGUCGAGCGUGAUUUAUGAGGACGAAACGUCGGUCUAGGAAUCAUAAUGAAAGCGGCGGACGGGUGAGUAACGCGUAGGCAACCUGCCCUUGACACAGGGAUAGCCUCGGGAAACCGGGAUUAAAACCUGAUGACGCCAAACAGUCACAUGGCUGUUUGGCCAAAGAUUUAUCGGUCAAGGAUGGGCCUGGGUCUGAUUAGUUAGUUGGUGGGGUAACGGCCUACCAAGACGACGAUCAGUAGCCGACCUGGGAGGGUGAUCGGCCACAGUGGAACUGAGACACGGUCCAAACUCCUACGGGAGGCAGCAGUGGGGAAUAUUGCACAAUGGGCGAAAGCCUGAUGCAGCAACGCCGCGUGAGCGAUGAAGGCCUUUGGGUCGUAAAGCUCUGUCCUUGGGGAAGAAACAAAUGACGGUACCCAAGGAGGAAGCCCCGGCUAACUACGUGCCAGCAGCCGCGGUAAAAC